rnacentral:rRNA from 1 species
UACGUAGGGGGCGAGCGUUGUCCGGAAUUACUGGGCGUAAAGGGCGCGCAGGCGGCCGUGUAAGUCCGCUGUGAAAGACCGGGGCUCAACCCCGGGGUGUCAGCGGGGACUGCACGGCUGGAGUCCCGGAGGGGGAGGCGGAAUACCUGGUGUAGCGGUGGAAUGCGUAGAGAUCAGGUGGAACACCGAUGGCGAAGGCAGCCUCCUGGACGGGUACUGACGCUCAUGCACGAAAGCGUGGGGAGCAAACAGG